GGAUGUGAGGGCGAUCUGGCUGCGACAUCUGUCACCCCAUUGAUCACCAGUGUUGAUUCAGCUGAUCUGGCUGGCUAGGCAGGUGUCUCCUCCCUCCCUCACUGCUCCAUGUGCAUCCCUCCCGAAGCUGCGUGCUCGGUCGAAGAGGACGAACUUCCCUGAUAGAGAAGGACCAUUCUUCGGUCAAGGGUACACAAGUAGCUGCACUCCCCUACUAGAACCUCCUGACAAGCUCUCAAGAUACAAAACGUAUGACCUGGUGCCCUGCUUUCCUUACACAUGG
rnacentral:snRNA from 1 species